ensembl:snRNA U6 U6 spliceosomal RNA
GCGAGCCUAAGCAUCACAUAUACUACAACUGGAACAAUAUACAGAGAAAAUUAGCCUGGCUCCCACACGAGGCUGACACGCACAUUCACAAAGUAUUCCAUAUUUAA